rnacentral:rRNA from 1 species
GAUGAACGCUGGCGGCGUGCCUAAUACAUGCAAGUAGAACGCUGAAGGAGGAGCUUGCUCUUCUGGAUGAGUUGCGAACGGGUGAGUAACGCGUAGGUAACCUGCCUGGUAGCGGGGGAUAACUAUUGGAAACGAUAGCUAAUACCGCAUGACAACAGUUAUUGCAUGAUAACUGUUUAAAAGGGGCAACUGCUCCACUACCAGAUGGACCUGCGUUGUAUUAGCUAGUUGGUGAGGUAACAGCUCACCAAGGCGACGAUACAUAGCCGACCUGAGAGGGGGAUCGGCCACACUGGGAAUGAGACACGGCCCAGACUCCUACGGGAGGCAGCAGUAGGGAAUCUUCGGCAAUGGACGGAAGUCUGACCGAGCAACGCCGCGUGAGUGAAGAAGGGUUUCGGAUCGUAAAGCUCUGUUGUAAGAGAAGAACGAGUGGGAGAGUGGAAAGUUCACACUGUGACGGUAUCUUACCAGAAAGGGACGGCUAACUACGUG